UACGGGGGGAGCAAGCGUUGUUCGGAUUACUGGGCGUAAAGGGCGCGUAGGCGGUCAGCACAAGUCAGUUGUGAAAUCUCCGGGCUUAACUCGGAACGGUCAAGUGAUACUGUCGGACUAGAGUACAGAAGGGCAACUGGAAUUCUCGGUGUAGCGGUGAAAUGCGUAGAUAUCGAGAGGAACACCUGCGGCGAAAGGCGGGUUGCUGGGCUGAUACUGACGCUGAGGCGCGAAAGCCAGGGGAGCGAACGGG
rnacentral:rRNA from 1 species